CUAGAGAAAAGGUCGUAUCUC
rnacentral:snRNA from 1 species